rnacentral:tRNA from 1 species
GGUUUAAUAGUGGAGUAAGAAACCUAUUUUUGACUUCUAAUCAAUAAAUAAAGUGCUUAGUGCCACUUUUACUCCU